AUCCAGGUGACGAGUGCCAAAUAGGACGAAACGAGCGUCAAACUGGAU
rnacentral:hammerhead_ribozyme from 1 species